UACGAAGGGGGCGAGCGUUGUUCGGAUUUACUGGGCGUAAAGGGCGCGCAGGCGGCUCGUUUUGUCAGGCGUGAAAGCCCCGGGCUCAACCCGGGAAGUGCAUUGGAUACUGGGAGACUUGAAUACGGGAGAGGGUAGUGGAAUUCCUAGUGUAGGAGUGAAAUCCGUAGAUAUUAGGAGGAACACCGGUGGCGAAGGCGGCUACCUGGACCGAUAUUGACGCUGAGACGCGAAAGCGUGGGGAGCAAACAGG
rnacentral:rRNA from 1 species